rnacentral:lncRNA from 1 species
CAACUAUUAGUGAUGACUUUAUCCGAAUGUGACGGAACUGUCAUGUAGUGGACUGAUUACUACUAUCAAUGUAAUACUUAACAAUGGUUUUGUAAGAGAGAAAAUUACAUGUGCUUAUCCUGACUGUAAAAACACCAUACUAUUGUAGUUAAUAUGCCAAACUUGAUGUACAUGUGUAUGCGAUUUUUGUGCAAUUGAUGGCGAGACCAUUGAACUAAAAACAAAUACAAGACUCUGCAUUCAAUCUAUUGAAUUUGAAGCAGAAGUGAUACAGUGGC